rnacentral:rRNA from 1 species
AGAGUUUGAUCCUGGCUCAGAUUGAACGCUGGCGGCAUGCCUUACACAUGCAAGUCGAACGGCAGCACGAGAGCUUGCUCUUGGUGGCGAGUGGCGAACGGGUGAGUAAUAUAUCGGAACGUACCCUAGAGUGGGGGAUAACGUAGCGAAAGUUACGCUAAUACCGCAUACGAUCUACGGAUGAAAGUGGGGGAUCGCAAGACCUCAUGCUCAUGGAGCGGCCGAUAUCUGAUUAGCUAGUUGGUGGGGUAAAAGCUCACCAAGGCGACGAUCAGUAGCUGGUCUGAGAGGACGACCAGCCACACUGGAACUGAGACACGGUCCAGACUCCUACGGGAGGCAGCAGUGGGGAAUUUUGGACAAUGGGCGCAAGCCUGAUCCAGCAAUGCCGCGUGAGUGAAGAAGGCCUUCGGGUUGUAAAGCUCUUUUGUCAGGGAAGAAACGGUGGACUCUAAUACAGAUCACUAAUGACGGUACCUGAAGAAUAAGCACCGGCUAACUACGUGCCAGCAGCCGCGGUAAUACGUAGGGUGCAAGCGUUAAUCGGAAUUACUGGGCGUAAAGCGUGCGCAGGCGGUUGUGCAAGACAGAUGUGAAAUCCCCGGGCUCAACCUGGGAAUUGCAUUUGUGACUGCACGGCUAGAGUGUGUCAGAGGGGGGUAGAAUUCCACGUGUAGCAGUGAAAUGCGUAGAGAUGUGGAGGAAUACCGAUGGCGAAGGCAGCCCCCUGGGAUAACACUGACGCUCAUGCACGAAAGCGUGGGGAGCAAACAGGAUUAGAUACCCUGGUAGUCCACGCCCUAAACGAUGUCUACUAGUUGUCGGGUCUUAAUUGACUUGGUAACGCAGCUAACGCGUGAAGUAGACCGCCUGGGGAGUACGGUCGCAAGAUUAAAACUCAAAGGAAUUGACGGGGACCCGCACAAGCGGUGGAUGAUGUGGAUUAAUUCGAUGCAACGCGAAAAACCUUACCUACCCUUGACAUGUCUGGAAUCCUUGAGAGAUCAGGGAGUGCUCGAAAGAGAAUCAGAACACAGGUGCUGCAUGGCUGUCGUCAGCUCGUGUCGUGAGAUGUUGGGUUAAGUCCCGCAACGAGCGCAACCCUUGUCAUUAGUUGCUACGAAAGGGCACUCUAAUGAGACUGCCGGUGACAGACCGGAGGAAGGUGGGGAUGACGUCAAGUCCUCAUGGCCCUUAUGGGUAGGGCUUCACACGUCAUACAAUGGUACAUACAGAGGGCCGCCAACCCGCGAGGGGGAGCUAAUCCCAGAAAGUGUAUCGUAGUCCGGAUUGUAGUCUGCAACUCGACUACAUGAAGUUGGAAUCGCUAGUAAUCGCGGAUCAGCAUGUCGCGGUGAAUACGUUCCCGGGUCUUGUAC